GUUUAAAAAAAUAGGGGCACGAAGAUGAACUGUGCAGAGAGCCUGCACAGAUACCACAGACUGAGCAGCAUCCACUGCUGUCAUUGUUUUAAGGAGUUAUGAUGCAGGGUUAACCCUGUCAGGGCAGAGACUCUUGAGUUAUUACCUCCAGCUCCAUCCUAUGAUGUGGGAACCACAGGUGCACUCAAAAGUCCGAGUGGGGCCUAAUGAAAGUCUUAUUCAGCUGCAAUGUGACUUGCCAACUUUCAUACUCCAUUCUUUGAUCGAUGAAGGAACAAGGAUGUCUUGGUGAUGAAGAAUUAAGCAACCUGGCAGAGGAGGAUGCAAAUAGGAAUACACAUUUCAAAGGUGAAUAAUGCAGACAGCUGAAAGUGCAGACAAAGACCAAAGCUGCCUCUGGACUUGACUCAGAGCAGGACUGAAUGUGCAAAAGGACAGAGCACUAUCACAUGUUCACUAACUGGCCAGCCAUCCAGGAUGGCGUAAGAAACUGGUCAAAUUACCUAGGAUUUCUCUGAACAACAAUAAGCACCGUGUGAAGAACAAUUACGCAACCAAAACAUAAUGUUAAGCAGCAAUGUAAAACACAAGCAAUUGGUUGUUUUUCCAAUGGCCACACCUACUGUACUCAACAAUUGCAAGUGAUUUGCAGAAAUGUGUAAAUGAUUUGAUGUGUUACUAGACAGUACAUACUGUACAAUGUGUUUUAUAAAUUCUU